rnacentral:rRNA from 1 species
CGGACAGGCGAGGCCCCGGCAGUGAGCCGGGGCCGCAAUAUGCGUUCAAGAUGUCGA